UGGUCAGGUAGAGAAUACCGAGGCGAUCGGGCGAACUAUGGUUAAGGAACUCGGCAAAUUACCCCCGUAACUUCGGGAGAAGGGGGCCACAGACCGUCAUACCCCAUGCGGGUGGCAGCGGUAGGUGGCCGCAGAGACCAGGGGGAAGCGACUGUUUACUAAAAACACAGGUCCGUGCGAAGUCGUAAGACGAUGUAUACGGACUGACGCCUGCCCGGUGCUGGAACGUUAAGGGGACCGGUUAGUCCGCAAGGGCGAAGCUGAGAACUUAAGCGCCAGUAAACGGCGGUGGUAACUAUAACCAUCCUAAGGUAGCGAAAUUCCUUGUCGGGUAAGUUCCGACCUGCACGAAUGGCGUAACGACUUCCCUACUGUCUCAACCAUAGGCCCAGCGAAAUUGCAUUACGAGUAAAGAUGCUCGUUACGCGCGGAAGGACGGAAAGACCCCGGGACCUUCACUAUAGCUUGACAUUGGUACUCGAAUUGAAUUGUGUAGGAUAGGUGGGAGACUGUGAAGCGCGGACGCCAGUCCGUGUGGAGUCAAUCUUGAAAUACCACUCUGUUGAAUUUGGGUAUCUAACUUCGGACCGUGAUCCGGUUCAGGGACAGUGUCUGGUGGGUAGUUUAACUGGGGCGGUUGCCUCCUAAAAUGUAACGGAGGCGCCCAAAGGUUCCCUCAGCCUGGUUGGCAAUCAGGUGUUGAGUGCAAGUGCACAAGGGAGCUUGACUGUGAGACUGACAGGUCGAGCAGGGACGAAAGUCGGGACUAGUGAUCCGGCACCUGCGAGUGGAAGCGGUGUCGCUCAACGGAUAAAAGGUACCCCGGGGAUAACAGGCUGAUCUUCCCCAAGAGUCCAUAUCGACGGGAUGGUUUGGCACCUCGAUGUCGGCUCGUCGCAUCCUGGGGCUGGAGUAGGUCCCAAGGGUUGGGCUGUUCGCCCAUUAAAGCGGCACGCGAGCUGGGUUUAGAACGUCGUGAGACAGUUCGGUCCCUAUCCUCCGCGCGCGCAGGAGACUUGAGAAGGGCUGUCCCUAGUACGAGAGGACCGGGACGGACGAACCUCUGGUGUGCCAGUUGUCAUGCCAAUGGCACGGCUGGUUAGCUACGUUCGGAAGGGAUAACCGCCGAAAGCAUCUAAGCGGGAAGCCUGCUUCAAGAUGAGGUCUCCCACCCCUAGAGGGUUAAGGCCCCCAGUUAGACCACUGGGUUGAUAGGCCAGAAGUGUAAGCCUGGCAACAGGUUCAGCCGACUGGUACUAAUAGGCCGAGGACUUCACCG
rnacentral:rRNA from 1 species